rnacentral:rRNA from 1 species
AGGACGAACGCUGGCGGCGUGCCUAACACAUGCAAGUCGAGCGGAGAUAAGCGGAAGGUAACUGAAGUUUAUCUUAGCGGCGGACGGGUGAGUAACACGUGGGCAACCUGCCUUGAAGUGGGGGAUAACACCGGGAAAUCGGUGCUAAUACCGCAUAACAUACACAAACUGCAUGGUGAGUGUAUCAAAGGAGCAAUCCGCUUUAAGAUGGGCCCGCGGCUGAUUAGCUAGUUGGUAAGGUAACGGCUUACCAAGGCGACGAUCAGUAGCCGACCUGAGAGGGUGACCGGCCACACUGGAACUGAGACACGGUCCAGACUCCUACGGGAGGCAGCAGUGGGGAAUAUUGCGCAAUGGGGGGAACCCUGACGCAGCAACGCCGCGUGGAGGAAGAAGGUCUUCGGAUUGUAAACUCCUGUCUUCUGGGACGAAUAAUGACGGUACCAGAGGAGGAAGCCACGGCUAACUACGUG